rnacentral:rRNA from 1 species
GAUGAACGCUGGCGGCGUGCCUAAUACAUGCAAGUCGAGCGAAUGGAUUAAGAGCUUGCUCUUAUGAAGUUAGCGGCGGACGGGUGAGUAACACGUGGGUAACCUGCCCAUAAGACUGGGAUAACUCCGGGAAACCGGGGCUAAUACCGGAUAACAUUUUGAACCGCAUGGUUCGAAAGUGAAAGGCGGCUUCGGCUGUCACUUAUGGAUGGACUCGCGUCGCAUUAGCUAGUUGGUGAGGUAACGGCUCACCAAGGCAACGAUGCGUAGCCGACGUGAGAGGGUGAUCGGCCACACUGGGACUGAGACACGGCCCAGACUCCAACGGGAGGCAGAAGUAGGGAAUCUUCCGCAAUGGACGAAAGUCUGACGGAGCAACGCCGCGUGAGUGAUGAAGGCUUUCGGGUCGUAAAACUCUGUUGUUAGGGAAGAACAAGUGCUAGUUGAAUAAGCUGGCACCUUGACGGUACCUAACCAGAAAGCCACGGCUAACUACGUGCCAGCCGCCGCCGUAA